UUGACCUCGGAUCAGGUAGGAAUACCCGCUGAACUUAAGCAUUU
rnacentral:rRNA from 1 species